GAAAAAAUGUCCAUAAAAUUAGAGCUUCAUAUGAGAUACUUAUAAUAUAUGUUAUUAUUUUAAUAUCCAUGUAUAUUUGUUCCACUAUCCAAGAAAAGUUUCAAUCACUUAGCAAUCUACACGCUGAUUAUCUUUGCUGUUGUGAAAGAAGAGGUAGAAAUGAAGCACAGAGUGUAAUUGUGAAGCACAACAUUUUGCAGAGUUCUUUAGUAAAGAGAAGACUCUCAGUGUGUUUGGAUGGUGUCUUAACCAAAAAGAUCUCCAUUAUAUCUGCGGUACUGCUCUCAUGUUCCACUACCAUUACAAAAAUGGAAUGUAGCUAAUUUGCAGUUUUUUAUUCAGUGGUUUUCAUUGCUGUAUGGAUGAUCAUCUUUCUCCAGCAAUGUGGAACGGAACAAAUGCGAGCAAGUUGACGCUUAAUGGCUUGGAUUGGAAGAGACCUCAAGAGUCAUCAGGUUCCAGCCCCCCUUCUUUGGGCAAGGUUCCAACUGCUAAAUCGAGUACUAGAUAAGAUUACUCCUGGACUGCCUGAGCGCUAUCAAACAUCCAAAAUUCUUUGCUAAUUUAGAAGAUCUUAUCCCUAGAGUGAAAAAAAGGACUGGAAAUUCUGUACCCUGUGGUCCUCACUGUUAUCAGAAAACAAGCCAUAAAAACUAAUGAUCUCUAACAUGUGCUUUCAUGGUACUUAGAAGAAAUAGUGUGAUUGCAUGAUAGAGUUUUAUGGGUUUGUCUAUAAAGAAGAAAUAAAUAUAAAUGAAGAAAAUCUAAGUUAAGUCAUUCACUACAAAGCUGGUUUAUAUUUGUUGUUAUGCCUUUGAACUAAAAUUCAUGUAUUUGUGUUUGCCUUCUUGAAUGGGGAGGUGAAUUUCACAGUCCUACACGACUGCCUAAUAAAAAUGUGAUGUACCAAAGUUUGUGUCCAAGCCUGCAGCUGGAACUGAAAGAGAUGAAAAUUGUAAUAACUUUGGCUAUUUACUCAUUUUUAUGCAACUAGCUUUGCAGCUAAGUUGUGUGGAGCUGUUUAGGAAGUUGGACCUUUAAACAGGAUGUAAGCUCUGAGGUAUCAACCGUUUGUCUUUGUUUUAUU